ensembl:misc_RNA Metazoa_SRP Metazoan signal recognition particle RNA
GCCAGGCUUAGUGGCAAGUCCCUGUAGUCCCAGCUACUCGGGAGGCUAAGGCUGGAGUAUCGCUUGAGUCCAGGAGUUCUGGGCUGUAGUGCACUAUGCCGAUUAGGUGUCCACACUAAGUUCAGCAUCAGUAUGGUGACCUCCCGGGAGCAGGGGACCACCAGGUGGCCUAAGGAGGGGUAAACCGGCCCAGGUCGGAAAUGGACCAGGUCAAAACUCCCAUACUGAUCAGUAGUGGGAUGGAGCCUGUGAAUAGCUACUGCACUCCAGCCUGGGCAACAUAGCAAGACCCCAUCUCU